GUUGUCGGAUUGACUUCAAUCUAUGUGUAUUGGUAUGGAUUGAGGUGAAAUUUAGGUCAAGUUUUAUUUCAAUACACCUCAACACAUGUGGAUUGACGUGAAUCUGACU
rnacentral:pre_miRNA from 1 species